ensembl:rRNA 5S_rRNA 5S ribosomal RNA
GCUUACAGCCAUGCCAACCUGGCUUUGGCCGAUCUCGUCUGAUCUCGGAAGCUAAGCAGGUUUGGUCCUGGUUAGUACUUGGAUGGGAGACCGCCUGGGAAUACCAGGUGCUGUAAGCU